AGCCUUUAGAGGGCUUUUCUAAUGCAAAACUGUCUAAAAUCUUCAAAUCAGAAAGAACCCCUGAUAUAAUUGAGUAAAAAUUUUCAUUUUGGGCUACAAAGAUACUGAAACCCAGAGAUCUAGUGAGCCUACCCCCUGCUCCAGUUCAUCCUCAGCAGAAUUAAGGCUCAAAUCCAGGUCUCUGAAUCCCAGAAUCAAACUGAAAUUUGUAGGUAAAAUGUGUGGCAGUAGCAUUUCUGAGCAAGCCCUGUUUCACCCUGAAAAACUACUUAGUCAUAAACCUCCUGUAGUGAGAGUUGUGUCUCUUCACAGAGCCUAAUUUAGACUCCUUCAUGGUA
rnacentral:lncRNA from 1 species